GCAUAUAAUAAAAAGGCUAGUUUUAAAGACAGCUCUCAACAACCCCCGACUGUCCGUUCCAGAAAUAAUAUGCGCUUCUUUUAAUUUAGAUCUCCAAUGAAGAUUUCGAAGCUCGGGGAGGCGAACAGCUGUGUUUCUGCCCUGAUAAAUGACUCAUUUAAAUGAGUUUCAUUAACGAUACGUAGGAGUCUUGUUGAGCGCCGCGAUAUAUUUUGAUCUACAGCGCCGUUAUGACAGCAGGGGUUUGUGCGGCAGUCUGUGAGUUAAUGGAGUCAAAUGGAAAUUAUCUGAUGGCCAACACAUCUCUGAAUGUAAAUCUCCCUCGCAUAUUGAAGUCGGGCUCGUCGUAUGUCGCCCGGCUAUCAAAUUAUUCAUUCUAUAUGCACAAUAGAAACCAAAUUACCUCAUAAAAAAAGAUACGGAGAAAUAAAUGAAUUCUUUGGCACUGAUAUCUCCUCAUGCUAGGCUGAAAUCACUAGCGCGUGACUAAGUGUUUGACGAUGUGGCCUGAUCCGCGACCAGCUUUUCCGGUUUCUGUGCUGCUUAAUUUGAAUGGAGGAUUAAAUGAAGCUAAUCCCAUUUCAGAUCUGCGCAAACAAACACGCCAGAGCAAAGCCCUGCCUGAGGCUAACCGAGACACAAUGCUGUAAUCUUACAGUUUUCCUAUCGGAAAUAUACAACACCUGAGGUUACAUCAGUGACAGGAUAUGACCUCAUCAGAUGACUUCCUGCAUCCUGUGCAAUUCAGCUGAAGGGAAGCACUGUAUCCGUGUUUGGAUUUGCUCACUUCCCAUUGGACAUAAACAAGAAAAACUGGAUGCUUUUUAAGACCUCUUACAAAAAUACUACGGUUUUACCAUGGUAAAAUGAUGCUACCAGAUUGUACUACAAUGAUAUUUUGAUAUAUACAAUGUACAUGUUUAAUCUACCACUAUGUGUGUCUGAAAACAUGGUUUUAUUAUGGUACAUACUAUAAAAGCAUGGUAAAACCAUGGUAUUUUUUGUUAGUUUGUCGUUAUGCUAAAAAUAAAUAUUUAUUUUCAAG
ensembl:lncRNA